UAGGGAAUCUUCGGCAAUGGACGAAAGUCUGACCGAGCAACGCCGCGUGAGUGAAGAAGGUUUUCGGAUCGUAAAACUCUGUUGUUAGAGAAGAACAAGGACGUUAGUAACUGAACGUCCCCUGACGGUAUCUAACCAGAAAGCCACGGCUAACUACGUGCCAGCAGCCGCGGUAAUACGUAGGUGGCAAGCGUUGUCCGGAUUUAUUGGGCGUAAAGCGAGCGCCGGCGGUUUCUUAAGUCUGAUGUGAAAGCCCCCGGCUCAACCGGGGAGGGUCAUUGGAAACUGGGAGACUUGAGUGCAGAAGAGGAGAGUGGAAUUCCAUGUGUAGCGGUGAAAUGCGUAGAUAUAUGGAGGAACACCAGUGGCGAAGGCGGCUCUCUGGUCUGUAACUGACGCUGAGGCUCGAAAGCGUGGGGAGCAAACAGG
rnacentral:rRNA from 1 species